rnacentral:rRNA from 1 species
CCUACGGGUGGCAGCAGUGGGGAAUAUUGGACAAUGGGGGGAACCCUGAUCCAGCGACGCCGCGUGAGUGAAGAAGUAUUUCGGUAUGUAAAGCUCUAUCAGCAGGGGAGUAAAUGACGGUACCUGACUAAGAAGCCCCGGCUAACUACGUGCCAGCAGCCGCGGUAAUACGCAGGGGGCCAGCGUUAUCCGGAUUUACUGGGUGUAAAGGGAGCGUAGACGGUGCAGCAAGUCUGAUGUGAAAGGUCGGGGCCCAACCUCGGGACUGCAGUGGACACUGUUGAACUGGAGUACAGUAGAGGUAAGCGGAAUUCAUGGUGUAGCGGUGAAAUGCGUAGAUAUUAGGAGGAACACCGGUUGCGAAGGCAGCUUACUGGACUGUAACUGACGUUGAGGCUCGAAAGCGUGGGGAGCAAACAGGAUUAGAUACCCCAGUAGUC